CUGUUGGAAGUCACAUCCUCCUCCUCAGAGCUGCUCUCCACGUCACUGCGGUCGUCCUUGGACACCUAAGAGGUGGCCAGUGGGAAUUGGGUGGCGGGAGAGGAGAAGGGGAGUUGGAAAACGCACAGAAAACAGCGGUUAGGAGGCUGUGCCCACGUGAUGAACCAGCUUCAAGUCACAUCUACCUGCUGCAUUUGGGCCUGGAGCAGUUCAGGCUCCCAAGGAGGAUCCUGUCAUGGCAUUAGGAACAAGACAGACACUGCAAAUGACAGUCUGGGGAGCCAGCAGCCCUCGUGUGCUCCACGUGCCAGCACCCUGGCUCACAGCUUUCCAAGGAUUCCAGGAUUUCAUUCUGAGUCAGGGUUAGGGCCCUCCAGCAGCAGGAAGUGGUGGAACUCCAGGGAAGCUCUGGCAGGAAGCCAGGGGAAGUUAAUGAUCUCCAGAAGCCCUGCUGGAUGUUCUGGCUUCUGCCCCGUGGCCAGAACCUUUGCUUAUCUGUCCCCCAGUCUCCUGCUAUGUUGGAAAGUUCAAAGGGUCACUGGGAGGAAGCAGAAAUCCCUUGAAUUUUUCCCCAUUAUUGGGGGAUAAGGGACUGUUUUACUCCUUUUCACAGACAGGAGCAGUUUUCUCCUGUCCUCUCCCCCUCACAAGGAGCCAAGACAGAAAGCAGAGUGUGUGUGUGUGUGUGUAAAAGCAGAGAGUGAAGGUCAUGCAGGCAGGUGACAGCAGGUAAGAUCAGACCCCAGGACACUGCUCUGCCCUUUGGAAAAAACUGAGUUUUGGCACUUUGUCAGGAGCAGGGAGAGAAGGAGAAGGCACCAAAGCCCCAAGACCAGAGCCCUGCUUUUGUCCUGGCCGUGUUUCAGUGAACAAAGAGAACCACAGGUCACACUUACAUGCAAAGGGUGGAACUGUCCAGCUCCAAUCUGGCACAGAGAAAAGGAGAAAAGAAUGAAGAAGACAGAGCUUAGAGUCCUUUCUCUGGCUAGGUCACCUGGACAGGAGAGAACCAAGGAAAGGGAAAAAGGUGUAGAACUCAGGAUACAGAAACAGCUCCAGAGGCAGAAAAAUCAGGCAUUUGCAGCAGCAGCUGUGGGGAACAGAUGGGAGAGCUCAGACUCCCAAAACCUGCCUUCCCCCACAGUCCCUGCCACAGGCAACCACGACAGAAACAUUUCUGGAAGUCAACAAUCCCUGUGUGGGGGCAGCUGAAGUCAAACACACAAAAUAACGUAGAGCCACGAGGGGAAACUCGGCUCAGAACACCAAAACCUGGCUGGAAAAAGCAUCUGUCCUCCUAAAUCAGCUUUUUGCUGAUUUCACAGAAUCACAGAAUGGUUUGGGUUGGAACAGACCUGAAGGAUCACACCCAGUUCCAACCUCCACCUUCCACUGAGGUGCUCCAAGGCCCAUCUGACCUUGGCCUUGAACUGGAUGAUCUUGAAGUCCAAGCCAGGCCAUCCUGUGGUUCUCUGACAACCAGCAAACCCCUCUGCAUCCCUGUGAACCCUCUCCCUCCACGCUGGAGCUCAGUGUCUGUGCUGACAGGUGAAGGUGCACAACCCUCAGCACAUCCCCAGGACCAGCUGAAGUUGUUGGAAAACAUCCUGUGUGUUCAUCCUGUAGUUCAAAAAAGAGCCUGUCACCAAACUUAAACUCCAAAGUACCUAACAAAGUCUGCCACCACCGUUACUGUUAAAACAUCUGAGCGUGCUGGAAAAUGGAUUUAUUUCCCUGCAUGCCCAGAACACAGGAAACCUCCCUGCCCCUGAGCACACCUGGGAACUGCAGAGGUAAAAAAAAAAAUCACACACCAAGGGAAAAAAAAUCACUCUCCUUGCAGGACUCCUGAUGCAGGUCCCUCAAGAACCAGCCCCAGCCCCCACUGAAGGGCCCCAAUUUCUCAGGUUUCCUUAUCAGGGUUUGUAGGAAAGAGGAGCCCCCAGGGGCACCCCCAGCCUUACCCUGCCCCUUUAUCAGGGUUUGUAGGAAAGAGGAGCCCCCAAGGGCACCCCCAGCCUUACCUUGUCCCUUUAUCAGGGUUUGUAGGAAAGAGGAGCCCCCAAGGGCACCCCCAGCCUUACCUUGCCCCUUUAUCAGGGUUUGUAGGAAAGAGGAGCCCCCAAGGGCACCCCCAGCCUUACCCUGCCCCUUUAUCAGGGUUU